rnacentral:rRNA from 1 species
GAUGAACGCUGGCGGCGUGCCUAAUACAUGUAAGUCGAGCGAACAGACGAGGAGCUUGCUCCUCUGACGUUAGCGGCGGACGGGUGAGUAACACGUGGAUAACCUACCUAUAAGACUGGGAUAACUUCGGGAAACCGGAGCUAAUACCGGAUAAUAUAUUGAGCCGCAUGGUUCAAUAGUGAAAGACGGUUUUGCUGUCACUUAUAGAUGGAUCCGCGCCGCAUUAGCUAGUUGGUAAGGUAACGGCUUACCAAGGCAACGAUGCGUAGCCGACCUGAGAGGGUGAUCGGCCACACUGGAACUGAGACACGGUCCAGACUCCUACGGGAGGCAGCAGUAGGGAAUCUUCCGCAAUGGGCGAAAGCCUGACGGAGCAACGCCGCGUGAGUGAUGAAGGUCUUCGGAUCGUAAAACUCUGUUAUUAGGGAAGAACAAAUGUGUAAGUAACUAUGCACGUCUUGACGGUACCUAAUCAGAAAGCCACGGCUAACUACGUG